ensembl:lncRNA
AUUUAUUUUACCAUUUGGUUUGAAAAUAAUUCGUUUUUUCCCCAACACACUUACACACACACAGUUGAGACACACAGCAGUUGGUAGGCUCCAUCUAUACAGAACUCUUUGUUGUCAUCAAAUCAGUGCCCUUUCAUUUUCCUCUAGCCUGUGAGAUGCUUGUGGCUUUCUUGUUGUAGCUGAGGAUUUGAUGUGACCAUGACUCUUUAGUGUCAUACACUCUGAAUUACUACUAUGAUAUAUCCCCUUUUGCUGUAACACUGUCACUCAUGUUAAACAGCGCCCCCAUGCAAUCAUCUGGUAUUACUACAGAUGUAAAUACCCAUUUAAUAACCUUUUUUAGUAGGCUACUUUGCCUAUAUGACCUGUGAAUCAUCUAGUGCGAUUUUAAAAAUAUUUUUUAACCUUGAUUUAAUUAGGCAAGUCAGUUAAGAACAAAUCAUUUUUUACAAUGACGGCCAAACCCGGGCCAAUUGUGCGCCGCCGGCCAGUUGUGAUACAGCCCAGGAUCGAACCAGGGUCUGUAGUGACACCUCUAGCACUCAGAUGCAGUGCCUACGUCUAAGGCACUUAAUGUGCCCUAACCCUAACAAUAUAUGUAUCCCCUUAGGGGGGAGAACAACAGUUGUUACUGUUAGAUAUUAGAGUACUUAGGAUGUUGUGUUAAAUACAUACCAAUUAACCCCACCCUGGUAAGUCCUUUUAUUGUUGAGGUCUACUGGCCUUAAUCUCCACACCCUAUGAACCUCACCCUCUUUCCUCCAGUCCCCAGGCCAGAAGCAGUAGUGUCUGGUUACAGUCCUCUCACAACAAUUAUAUAUAUAUAUUUGUUUUUUUUAAUGAACCUUUUAUUUAACUAGGCAAGUCAGUUAAGAACAAAUUCUGAUUUACAAUGACGGCCUACUCCGGCCAAUUGUGCGCUGCCCUAUGGGACUCCAAUCACAGCCGGAUGUGAUACAGCCUGGAUUUGAACCACGUACUACAGUGAUGCCUCUUGCAGUGAGAUGCAGUGCCUUAGACUGCUGCACCACUCAAGAGCUGGUCUGACUGUCACCAAGGAUACACCUAUCAGUCAACACAACCCACUGUAGAGCUUGAACAAUGCACACAAUGUCAAGUAUGUGGAAAUACUGUAAACUACUGAACGAACAUGGUGCUGGGAAAAAUGCUGAAGAUAGGAAAAAACAAUGUUUUUUUUUUUUUUUCGACCAACAAAUAGUAUCUAUCAACAAUUUCACAGCAUAAAUGAAUUAUAUACAGCAAUGCUUCUAAUUUGCUUUAUUCACAAAGCAGGUAGCCUAGUGGUUAGAGCAUUGGACCAAUAACUGAAAGGUUGCUAGAUCAAAUCCCUGAGCUGACAAGGUAAAAAUCUGUCAUUCUACCCCUGAACAAGGCAGUUAACCAACUGUUCCUAGGCCGUCAUUGUAAAUAAGAAAUAGUUCUUAACUGACUUGCCUAGUUAAAUGAUUUCCCUUUAAAUUAAAGUGCAUUAUCUACAGAAUAUUUCACUUUCUCAAAAACAUGGUACUCCUGAGUCAGUAGCGUACUUAAAAAAUAGUCAACAGUAACUAUUCAAUUUGACUGGGAAACACUUGCCAUGCCAACCUACAAAAAAUGCAUGUAGGCUUUAAUUUGUAUAAAUACAGUAGGUAUGAAACAAGCAGACAUGAUAAUCCACCAAGACAAGCAGACAUGAUAAUCCACCAAGACAAGCAGACAUGAUAAUCCACCAAGACAAGCAGACAUGAUAAUCCACCAAGACAAGCAGACAUGAUAAUCCACCAAGACAAGCAGACAUGAUAAUCCACCAAGACAAGCAGACAUAAUAAUCCACCAAGACAAGCAGACAUGAUAAUCCACCAAGACAAGCAGACAUGAUAAUCCACCAAGACAAGCAGACAUGAUAAUCCACCAAGACAAGCAGACAUGAUAAUCCACCAAAACAAGCAGACAUAAUAAUCCACCAAGACAAGCAGACAUGAUAAUCCACCAAAACAAGCAGACAUGAUAAUCCACCAAGACAAGCAGACAUAAUAAUCCACCAAGACAAGCAGACAUAAUAAUCCACCAAGACAAGCAGACAUAAUAAUCCACCCAGACAUAAUAAUCCACCAAGACAAGCAGACAUGAUAAUCCACCAAGACAAGCAGACAUAAUAAUCCACCAAGACAAGCAGACAUAAUAAUCCACCCAGACAUAAUAAUCCACCAAGACAAGCAGACAUGAUAAUCCACCAACACAAGCAGACAUAAUAAUCCACCCAGACAUAAUAAUCCACCAAGACAAGCAGACAUGAUAAUCCACCAAGACAAGCAGACAUAAUAAUCCACCAAAACAAGCAGACAUAAUAAUCCACCAAGACAAGCAGACAUAAUAAUCCACCAAGACAAGCAGACAUGAUAAUCCACCAAAACAAGCAGACAUAAUAAUCCACCAAGACAAGCAGACAUGAUAAUCCACCAAAACAAGCAGACAUAAUAAUCCACCAAGACAAGCAGACAUAAUAAUCCACCAAGACAAGCAGACAUGAUAAUCCACCAAAACAAGCAGACAUAAUAAUCCACCAAGACAAGCAGACAUAAUAAUCCACCCAGACAUAAUAAUCCACCAAAACAAGCAGACAUGAUAAUCCACCAAGACAUAAUAAUCCACCAAAACAAGCAGACAUAAUAAUCCACCAAGACAUAAUAAUCCACCAAGACAAGCAGACAUAAUAAUCCACCAAGACAAGCAGACAUAAUAAUCCACCAAGACAAGCAGACAUAAUAAUCCACCAAGACAAGCAGACAUAAUAAUCCACCAAAACAAGCAGACAUGAUAAUCCACCAAAACAAGCAGACAUAAUAAUCCACCAAGACAAGCAGACAUAAUAAUCCACCAAAACAAGCAUGUGGAACACCACAGGACUGCAUUUUAUCAUGUGCACUUUGAUUGAUUUGAAUGCAAGGCAAAAAAAGAAUCCCGAAACUUCUGAAAGGAAAGGUUAAUUUCAUUAGGUUUAUCAAUGUGCAAUCUGUAGCAAAGGAUUAAUAAAUAUAGUAAUGUCAUCAAAAUAUUCAAACAAAUUAAGGCUAGUGUGCCAAUAAAAAAAUUAAAAAACUUUGGUCCUGGCUGAGAAGCCACACAUCUCCAGAUAGUACCACCUUACUACUACUGGAGCUAAAGAAAUGACCAAAUCCAAGGACAGAAACAAAUGCAAUAACUACACAUUUGUGGGACUUUAUAAGCAUUGGAAAUGAAUACACUACUAUACUAUUAUAAUAGUAAUGUUAUAUUCCAGUGAUGUUUACUGCUUUGAUAUACUCACUGAUAUAUAUAUAUAUAUAUAUAUAUAUGCUACGCUUUAACUCCAUAGUGCACUUGGCUGAACUCUCUCCAUGGGGCUAGAAAAUUAGUCUCGUCCACCAGCCAGUUAGGAGAGUUGAAGUCUCGUCCACCAGCCAGUUAGGAGAGUUGAAGUCUCGUCCACCAGCCAGUUAGGAGAGUUGAAGUCUCGUCCACCAGCCAGUUAGGAGAGUUGAAGUCUCGUCCACCAGCCAGUUAGGAGAGCUGCUAUAUGCUAAAGGCCCAGUCAAGUGAGUUUAACACCACUGCCUGUAAAUCCACCAAUCAAAAGACAUGAAGGUGUGAGAGAGAGAGAGAGAGGUUCUUUGACGCGCCACGUCUACUCCAUGUCCGAGGCAUCAUUGUCUGAGAGGAUGUCGCUCCCUUUUACCCUGUUGUACAGGAUGUUUCUGGAUCCGUCCCCAUCCCCGUCAGACGCACUGCAGGAGCAGAGGUUUCCGGAGAACAGGGCCUCCAUCUCCUCCAGCCUGCGGCCCUGGGUCUCUGGCAGACAGCCCAUCACAAACAGCAGCCCCAGAACACUCAGGCCUGAGUAGAGGAAGAAUGCACC